rnacentral:misc_RNA from 1 species
AAGUCGUAACAAGGUUUCCGUAGGUGAACCUGCGGAAGGAUCAUUAGCAAGAUUGUGUUGUGUGUGCGUGUCUUAGACCGCGUUACACAACGCAAGAAAAGCCAUCCUUGUGCUAUGUAGUUGUUGUGUGCAGUGUGUGUGUCUAUAGUGGGCACACACAUGCGUACAUUUUUUACCACUCAUACCAUUUCUCAUCUUAUCAACCGUGCUUGCAAAAGCACACCAACAAUCGAAAACUGCCAGCAAUGGAUCACUCGGUUCUC